UAGAGACGUCGGACUGCAAUCUGACCCGUGUGGAGGCCAAAAACAAAAUAACAGCCUGCUCCAUUCAGGUUCAGGACCUCAUUUGCCUGUGCUCUGCUUUCCUGAGAGCCCAGAGUGACUGAUUGCAGACCCUGGACUUCUGCAGGAUUAAACUAACAGACACCUGCUCCCUCUGGCCAUUGGGCCAACCUCAGAUCACAGGGGAACUGAGCUGAUGGGUAGACUUCUGUCCUGGAAGGAAAAGUACAAGAAUGCAAGGGCUGAAGCAUGACUUGAUCUCAGGCCCUGGUGCAGGAGCCUUAGGCGUGGAUCCGCUAAGGCACACAGAGCCCUUGAAGGCCUUCUUUCCUGCUUCUGGACCUGUUGGGAGAACCCUGAGUGGCAAAGACUUCCAGUGUUGUUUCUAG
ensembl:lncRNA